rnacentral:rRNA from 1 species
AUUGAACGCUGGCGGCAGGCCUAACACAUGCAAGUCGAGCGGAUGAAGAGUGCUUGCUCUCUGAUUCAGCGGCGGACGGGUGAGUAAUGCCUAGGAAUCUGCCUGGUAGUGGGGACAACGUUUCGAAAGGAACGCUAAUACCGCAUACGUCCUACGGGAGAAAGCAGGGGACCUUCGGGCCUUGCGCUAUCAGUUGAGCCUAGGUCGGAUUAGCUAGUUGGUGGGGUAAAGGCUCACCAAGGCGACGAUCCGUAACUGGUCUGAGAGGAUGAUCAGUCACACUGGAACUGAGACACGGUCCAGACUCCUACGGGAGGCAGCAGUGGGGAAUAUUGGACAAUGGGCGAAAGCCUGAUCCAGCCAUGCCGCGUGUGUGAAGAAGGUCUUCGGAUUGUAAAGCACUUUAAGUUGGGAGGAAGGGCAGUAAGUUAAUACCUUGCUGUUUUGACGUUACCAACAGAAUAAGCACCGGCUAACUUCGUGCCAGCCGCCGCAGUAACAC